UAAUUUAUCGGUUUGGAGGGGCGUAGAAAGGAGGCCAUAUUGUACAGUUAAAUUGAAAGAACGAAAAUAAUUAUAUCAUCGUGCUUGUUUCGUUCCGAAUUUUUAUCGUACAUAUCUACGAAUUUGUUGUGAAUAAAGCAACAGUGUACUGAAUUUAUUUUGAGGCUUUUAAGAUUUCUUUUUGUAAAUAACUAUAAGUUGUAGUGGUGUAUUUCAAUAUCUAGAUACCGUCCGUCAGUCUACUAAAGGGGUUUAUAGCUCCAGACGAGAUGGGCACUCGGGAUGAUGAAUACGAUUAUUUAUUUAAAGUUGUUCUUAUUGGUGAUUCUGGUGUAGGAAAAAGUAAUCUUUUAUCAAGAUUUACAAGAAAUGAAUUCAAUUUAGAAUCAAAAUCAACCAUAGGAGUUGAAUUUGCUACGCGCAGUAUACAAGUAGAUGGAAAAACUAUAAAAGCUCAAAUUUGGGACACAGCAGGACAAGAACGUUAUCGUGCUAUUACAUCUGCGUAUUAUCGUGGUGCAGUUGGAGCUCUAUUGGUAUAUGAUAUAGCAAAACAUUUGACAUAUGAAAAUGUUGAAAGAUGGUUACGAGAAUUACGGGAUCAUGCUGAUCAAAACAUUGUUAUUAUGUUGGUGGGAAAUAAGUCUGAUUUAAGGCAUCUACGUGCAGUUCCAACUGAUGAGGCAAAAGCAUUUGCAGAGAAAAAUGGCCUCUCUUUCAUUGAAACUUCUGCUUUAGAUUCUACAAAUGUUGAAACAGCAUUUCAAAAUAUAUUAACAGAAAUCUACAGAAUCGUAUCGCAGAAACAGAUACGUGAUCCACCUGAAGGUGAUACAAUCCGGCCACAGAAUGUAGAACCCAUUGACGUGAAACCGACAAUGAAUUCAGAAGGAAUGCGUAAGCAGUGCUGCCAGUGACUCAUCUUGUUGCUUAAAAUAUAAUCAUCAAUACCAGAAGAAUGCUGAAUAAUAUGUUUAAUUAAGGACAUACAAAGAGACAGAAGCAAAAAGAAAAAUGGUCGCCGGUAAACGUAACAGGUGCAAACAGUACAAGAAUCAAGACUAUUUACAAAUAUAAGUAUACAUAAUUAAAGGUUUCCCAAAUAAUCCGGCGUUCUAAAUACAGAAUAGACUGUUCUCUAAUUAUUGCUUGAAAUUGUCGUUGGAAACGAAUAAUAAUAGUAGUACUUAAAAAAAAAACAUCUUUACAUCUUUAUUCUCAACAGUCAGCUUGGAUUCAAUCGAAACAUACUACUAUAACUAUAACUAAUACUAUUACUAGUAAUACUACUACUGCUACUAAUAUCAUCAUCAUCAUCAUCAUCAUCAUCAUCAUCAUCAGCAACAGCAGCAGCAGCAGCAGCAGCAUCAACAUCAGCAUUAGCAUCAGCAUCAUCAUCAUCAUCAUCAGCAUCACUACCACCACCAUCAUCACCACCACCACCACUACUACCACCACCACCACCAUUAUUAUUAUUAUUAUUAUUAUUAUUAUUAUUAUUAUUAUUAUUAUUAUUAUUAUUAUUAUCAUCAUCAUCAUCAUCAUCAUCAUCAUCAUUAUCAUUAUUAUCAUUAUUAUUGUUAUUACUAUCAAUGCCACCAUCGCCACCAUUAUCAUUAACUUUAUCUCUUUAAUUAUGGGAUAAGCUAAUUUUUGUUAUUAUUCAUGUUCCCGUUGAAAAUACAAUGAUGAAGUUGAUAAAAACUCCUCAAGUUCCUUCGGAUUAUUUAGGAAACAAAUUUUGAGGAUUGGAGAAAAUCUAGAGACAUGUAGUCCAAUACAUACACAAUAGUCCGAUAUAUUUGAAUAAAAAACCACAAUCAUACAGUCUAAGUACGUCAUCGAUAUUUACAAAGGAUAAAGAGUUAUACGUACGCACUAAUUCUAUCUCUGAAAUUUAUCCUGUCUCUAUCUUCCUCUCUACUAUCUUUAUCUCUGAUACGUUAUGAUAAAUCAAUGUUGUAUUACUGCUUCUUUGUAAUACAUAUGUUAUUCUACUUGAGACGUAGAAACGGACGGUUUAUAAUCGUUACACAAAAUAUUUGAAAUGUUUGGUCACAUCUUGAAGAAAUACAUAUUACACAAAUUGUAAGGAUAAAAAGAAUGGAUAAUAGAUAUUGAAAGUAAAAAUAAAGUUUAUUACAAAAUAUAGUUUAAUAUUUAUAAUUAAUUCUAUAAAAAUUGUAUGAAUAAAUUCACUAUCUAAAAUUGUACUCAAAAAGCUCUAAUUUCGUAACAAAAAUUAGAUACAAAAGUGGAAAACAUUAAUUAUAUUUUAAAAAAAUAAUUUACAUAGAAGAUAUUUCAAUUCAAAUUUGAAAAUUUAAAAAUAAAAUAUCUGUAUAAGUUUUUUUCAUCCUUACGACCGAUGACAUUUUGCAAAAAUUGGCCAAAUGUUUCAAAGAUAGUUUACAUUAUAAUACUUGAAAUCUUGCGAUUAAGUAUACAAAUGCACGACAUAAAAGAAACACAUAAAAAAAAAAGAAAAUAAAAUAGAAGCUUAAUAAAGAAAACAAAAAAGAAAAUGAAUCGGAUUUAAAAUACUUUUAUUAUUGCUCACUCUCUGCUUUUGAAUUUGCACUGUAGUUUUAAUAUUAAAAUACGAUAAAGAGCUUGUCAUUUAAAGAAAAAAGCAUUUUCAAAAGUAUUUUAUUUUUAUUCUGAAUAAGAAAAAUGUCAAAAUAUUUUAGCGCAUAAAUGUGAUAAGACAUGAAAGUACAUUAUUUGCCAGAUCAUAUCGUACUUUCUAGACGUCUAAUAAUUAUUGCUUCAAUGUGUGUAGUCGCAAUGUAAUCUGUUAUCGUUACAAGUUCUCGUUGUAUCUUGAUAAAUAAAUGGAGAGUGAGUAAAAUGUUGAAAUAUUGAAAUGUCUACACCUCGUUGUAUUUAUGCGAGGCUUAGAUGAUUCGUGCAAUAUCAAUCGGUGGAUUAAUCUCAUACUGAUAUGGUAUUAUUUUAAAUGGUAACUUUCUAAUUGUUUUAUGAGAAAGAAUAAUAAUAAUAAUAAUAUUUUGUUUUUAAUUAAAAGAAUUCAAUAUCAUUCAAUCACUAAAAAAUUUAUGAAAUAUACUAAAAUUUGUUUUUUUAAGAGUGCUAUUUGUAAUUAAUAAUAUAUAUAAUUAUUUUUUUUAUUAAAAUUUAUUUAUAAAUUAUAAUAUAAGCAAAAAAGCAAUCACCAUUAUUUUAUUCACAAAUAUUUCAAUAAAAACGAAUUUUAUUUAAAAUAUUUUAACGAAUAAUAAUUUUUAUUUUUGAAAAUAAUACAAUGAGCAAUUAAUAGAAAAAAAAAUAAAUUUAAAAAUUAUAUACAUGAUGAAUGCAAGAAAUGUCAUUUCACUUUCGAUAUAUUUUUCAAUUCAAUAAUCAGUUUUCAAGAUGCGAAUUCUUUUUGAAGCAAAAUAAUAAAAGUUAUACUUUUGUAUCAGUAGAGUGCGUGCGAUAUAUAAUUAAGAUGAUGAAAGAAAUAUAUUUAAAUCUUUUGGUUUUUUAUCUUCUAUCAUUAGAUCAUUAGAUAUUAUCUUUAAAGAGACUUUUAAAUAUCCUCUACGAAUACUGAAUUUGUACAAAUGGGAUAUUUAGAACAAUGAAUUUUUAAAAAUAUUAUCGAGAUCAGUUUAUUCUCCGUUGAUUUAAUAUAUGUAUAUAUACACACGUGCGCGCGUGUGCACACACACAAUAUACACAUGUAUGAAGUAAAGUCACCGAAUCGGCGACAUUUUAUUAAUCCAAUGCUUUGUACUUUAUAAUUUUAUUAAUAAAAUCACUUUUGCUUUGAACAUA